rnacentral:rRNA from 1 species
CUAGGACGAACGCUGGCGGCGUGCCUAAUACAUGCAAGUCGAACGGUCUUUCUAUGGAAGCUUGCUUCCACUGAGAAGAUAGUGGCGAACGGGUGAGUAACACGUGGGUAACCUGCCCAUAAGAGGGGGGAUAACAUCCGGAAACGGGUGCUAAUACCGCAUAGUUUCUUGAUCGCAUGAUCGGGAAAGGAAAGACGGCCUUUGUGCUGUCGCUUAUGGAUGGACCCGCGGCGUAUUAGUUAGUUGGUGAGGUAACGGCUCACCAAGACGAUGAUACGUAGCCGACCUGAGAGGGUGAUCGGCCACAUUGGGACUGAGACACGGCCCAAACUCCUACGGGAGGCAGCAGUAGGGAAUCUUCCGCAAUGGACGAAAGUCUGACGGAGCAACGCCGCGUGAGUGAAGAAAGGGUUUUCGGAUCGUAAAACUCUGUUGUCAGAGAAGAACAAGUUGGAGAGUAACUGCUCCAGCCUUGACGGUAUCUGACCAGAAAGCCACGGCUAACUACGUGCCAGCCGCCGC